rnacentral:rRNA from 1 species
UACGGAGGGUGCGAGCGUUGUCCGGAAUCACUGGGCGUAAAGCGCACGUAGGCGGAUUGCUAAGUCAGGGGUGAAAUCCUGGAGCUCAACUCCAGAACUGCCUUUGAUACUGGCGACCUUGAGUCCGGGAGAGGUGAGUGGAAACUGCGAGUGUAGAGGUGAAAUUCGUAGAUAUUCGCAAGAACACCAGUGGCGAAGGCGGCUCACUGGCCCGGUACUGACGCUGAGGUGCGAAAAGCGUGGGGGAGCAAACAGG